UACGUAGGCAGCAAGCGUUGUUCGGAAUUACUGGGCGUAAAGAGUGUGUAGGCGGUGCUGUAAGUCUGGUGUGAAAUCUCCCGGCUCAACUGGGAGGGUGCGCCGGAAACUGCAGUGCUUGAGGGUGGGAGAGGUAAGCGGAAUUCCUGGUGUAGCGGUGAAAUGCGUAGAUAUCAGGAGGAACACCUGUGGUGUAGACAGCUUACUGGACCACUUCUGACGCUGAGACACGAAAGCGUGGGUAGCAAACAGG
rnacentral:rRNA from 1 species